UGAACCAAACUAUAGCUUAGUGUAAUUUUGACACUUUGUACAUACCAGUAGCAGUCCGUUUAUUUCACGGCGAAACAGAUCGAGAAGAAUCACUGCGCGAUGGCAAGCAAACGGAAAGCCGACGCCGCUGCUUCACGCUUCCAACAACCAAAGCAACCAAAGCAGGGGGAGCCGGUAUGCUUUCUGUUUGGAUUCGAAUUUUGCUAUGAUUUUUGCGAUUUUAGGGCUAAAUUGCAUGCUUAUUUCGAUUGAUUGUGAAUGAGGAAUCGUUUAGCAACCAAUGCUGGGUAUGCUUCUGUUUGGAUUCGAAUUUUGCGAUGAUUUUCGGGAUAAAUUGCAUGCGUUUUUCGAUUGAUUGUGAAGGAGGAAUCCUUUAGCAAAGGGGAAAAACCAAUGCUGACUGGCAUGCAAAAGAACAAGGAGUUGUUUAGCGUUGGGGACCCUGUCGAGGUUAGAUACGACGCUCCUUAUCUCGAAGGAGCUUGGUUUAGUGCCAACAUUGUGGAGGCAAGGGGGCAGGAGAAGUUCACUGUUCAGUUCUGGGACCUAUUUGAGGAGGAUGACGUGGUCCAGCCUCAUAGAGAGGAGAUUGAUACCCAACACAUAAGGCACCCUCCGGGACCUGGUGUUCUUCCUAAAGAACUUGAUUUAACUGACACCGUUGAUGUUUUUUACAAUGAUGCCUGGCGGGUUGCUUCAAUUAUUAAGCUUCCAAACAAGUCCAAGUCCAAGUCCAAGCCCAAGCUCGAGCACAGAUAUGAAGUUAACUUGUGGAGCACCCAUCAGCCAUUGGAGGUUGAACACUCUGAUUUGAGGCCACAUCACCACUAAGGGGAAAUCGAGCAGCAAGUGACACGGGUGCAGAACUGGCAACGGAAAAGAAAAAGAAAAUGGUGCAUCCAUCAUCUAUUUUAAUUUUGGGUUGAUGGUUAUAUUAGUCCCUGUGUUUGUAAAAGUGUUUGAUUUUGGUCCCUUAACUAAAAAAUGAUGAUUAGUGGCGGUUUUUUGUAUAGUUACUGGCGGUUUUUUGACAGAGGGACCAAAAUCAAACAUUUUUACAAAUACAGGGACUAAUAUGACCUUUAACCCUUUAAUUUAUACCUAGUCAAACUUGUAUUUUAAUUUGCAUUUCUCUCCUAUGUUGUUGUGGGGAAUUCUGCGGUAGUAAUAGAAUCUCUUAAUUUAUGUGAAUUAUAAAUUAUAAAUCUGUUUUUUUGUAUCUUGUAGUGUCUUUUUGGAUGUGUGGAUGAAAAUUUUUAUAUUGUGUCUAUUAGUUCA